CGCGUUAGAUUAGAUAGUUGGUGGGGUAAUGGCCUACCAAGUCUACGAUCUAUAGCUGGUUUGAGAGGAUGAUCAGCAACACUGGGACUGAGACACGGCCCAGACUCCUACGGGAGGCAGCAGUGGGGAAUAUUGCACAAUGGGGGAAACCCUGAUGCAGCCAUGCCGCGUGUGUGAAGAAGGCCUUCGGGUUGUAAAGCACUUUCAGUCGUGAGGAAGGUCAAGUAGUUAAUACCUGCUUGAUUUGACGUUAGCGACAGAAGAAGCACCGGCUAACUCCGUGCCAGCAGCCGCGGUAAUACGGAGGGUGCGAGCGUUAAUCGGAAUUACUGGGCGUAAAGCGUACGCAGGCGGCCAUUUAAGUCAGAUGUGAAAGCCCCGGGCUCAACCUGGGAACUGCAUUUGAAACUGAAUGGCUAGAGUGCGACAGAGGGUGGUAGAAUUUCAGGUGUAGCGGUGAAAUGCGUAGAGAUCUGGAGGAACAUCAGUGGCGAAGGCGACUCCCUGGCCAAAGACUGACGCUCAUGUGCGAAAGUGUGGGUAGCGAACAGGAUUAGAUACCCUGGUAGU
rnacentral:rRNA from 1 species